CAGUCAUACCCCUCCCACUACUAAAGGACCAGACAGUCAUACCCCUCCCACCACUAAAGGACCAGACAGUCAAACCCCUCCCACCACUAAAGGUUGAGACAGUCAUACCCCUCCCACCACUAAAGGUUGAGACAGUCAAACCCCUCCCACCACUAAAGGUCCAGACAGUCAAACCCCUCCCAUUACUAAAAGGUCCAGACAGUCAAACCCCUCCCAUUACUACAGAUCCAGCCAGACGGUCAUACCCCUCCCACCACUAAAGGUUGAGACAGUCAUACCCCUCCCAUUACUAAAAGGUCCAGACAGACAGUCAUACCC
ensembl:lncRNA